CCUCCACCUGUUCCUCAGUGUCCGGGGAAAGUUGCGGAGAGAGCGGCGGCGUCGGAGAGCGAGCUCACCAUGUGGCAGCGCGGAUGUCGCAACAUCAGAGGCAUCAGACAGACUCUAACGGGGCACUGCCAACGGAGAGCCAUGCUCGCAGCGGGGCUCCACAGAGGAUGGUAGUGUUGGUCUGUCCACACUCAAACAUCUACGCCCCGAGCUGGGUUGCUAGGAACGUUUGUGCAGACAUUCAUGGUUCUCAAAGGAUGAAGUACACCGAUUUUGGUGACUCCUCGCACCAGGAGGUUGACAUGUUUGUCUUUUACUAACUUACUACAUCCACACCUGUUUUUAAAUGACUGCACUGGUUAGAUUUUAACAUUCUUUAAUUGCUCUACAGAUCUGUAAAUGUCUUCAACCCUGUCUAUCUGUCUGAUGUGACUUUAGAAUAUGAUCCUUAAGGUCCUCUGGUUGUGAUCUCUUAAACUUUAAAGAUACUCCCUUUCUGACGUGCACAUAGACAGCUGUGGACGCCACGAACGCAUACUUGUUUUUAUUAUGCGACUUUUUUAGUCUGCUGGCUUGUAGCUGCAUAUUCUGUGCAUGUACACUAGUGUCAGUCAUGCAUACUAUCGUCCUUGUAGUCAUAAAUGUUUGGGCUGCACGUAGGCAUCCACAGAGGGGUUCACAUGUGGACAAAAAGGAGAUGGCAGAAUUUAUGUCACACAGACCCAGACAACGGCUAGUUGUUUCUAGGGUCCUGCCUUUAUUUUUAACAUGGGGUCUUUUGGAAAGUUGUUAAGUUUUAAAACGCUGCAUUUUGUUUUCAUCUGAAUGAGCAGAAACAAAGGCAGACACCCAUGUCUGGUUUCUGAUUGGGUCUUAACUGUCAUUAUGUUUGUUUCCUGGUUCAUCAUACUACGAUCACAUAACAGUUUUCUGGGGGGGAAAAAAAGACAUCAGCCUCCUCUACCAGUGGUUAAUUCAACAUGGAUAAUGAACCUCAAGCAUCGCUGAUAAUAUAGUUGAUGCCAGCAGCUCUAACAGUUGAAGAAAUCUCUGGUCUUUAGGUACGUGUCCACUAAAUACAGCAAUUUCCUGCAUCCCAUUCAUUGUCUAUGUGAAACGCACCACGUUGCAUGCUGGUCCGGUUGUGGUGUGAUUCGAGCUGCGAUCUGGUGCACCUCUCCAGAGCUCACUUACAUAAAGUAAACUCGACUUCUACUUUAUGCAAAUUGGAUGCAUCAUGCGGAGAUCCGACGCAUCGCAAAACUUUCGUCAAACAUCUAAACUAGCUGUCGGUGAACUAAAAUGAGACCAGAUUCAGCUACUGCACAGGUUAUUUCUCACCUCAAAUGCUUUCAGAAAUACUUUUUGCUGAACUGUUUUAGAUUUCGCUUGAAAUCCAGGAUAGUUGGAGAAGAAGGUCGGCAGGAGUUGAACACCGGCUACUGGCCUCAAGUACAGUGAUGAUUUUCAGAUGUGGCGUGUUUCUACAUGCAGGAAAAACGCAUCUAGUGGACACGUAGCAUUACUUUUCACUGUUCUGUCUUCAUCGUAUUUUCUACAACUACGCAACCAGCCUCCUGCUUCAUGUUUUUACAAUCACAUGUCCAGUGUAGGUGAACGGUCAUGUGAUAUAUAGAGCAGCAGUUGUGUUUUUGUGCACAAGAUGUAGAUACAACCUACUACACAUGAAUGCAAUAGAGUCCUCCUAGCCUCUGUUGCCUGGCUACUAUCUACGGUUUAUUCAGUAUUUUAUUAUUGAUCCUAUUCCUGUGUAUUUUACUUUAAAUUAAAUUUAUGUUUUAACUCUGUUUAUGUUCACUUGCAGUUGCAUUUAAAGCAUGAUUCAUGCUGUGUAAAUAAAAUUUGACUGAUCAGUUGGAUGGAUUGGCACAAAAUUUGGCACAGACAUUCAUGUUCCCCUCUGGUAGAAACCUAAUGAUUUUGGUUAUUCUCUGACUUUUAGACAUAGUACUACCAAAAGGUUUAUAUUUGUGAUUAAUGGAGUACAAUAACAUGUGCCGGACACAUUAAAGCUCCCCUGUGAAUAAACUGCAAUCUUAUUACCAACAUUAACUACAGAUCUGAAUAAUGUUUUAAUAAAAAGAUUUCAAUCUACAGAUUUUUAUCAUGUUAAAUCUCGCUCCUGUAAUGGUAAAAGACAUCACGUUUUGGCUGCAAUAUUCAGAAAAUGUUUGGAGAAUGUUGCCAGGGUCUCAGAUUAGGUUACAUGAUAACAAAAGGAGAGCAUUCUCAAACCAGCACUGGAAAAAUGUUUUCAACAUGGAAUAAGAUGAUAGAAAGUGUUUUAGAAAAUGUUCCUGUAUGGUGAUAUUCUAAAAAGGAACAUUUUUACUGCAAUAUUCCAGGGACACUUUUGGGAGGUUGUUGAGGUAACGCAUUAUAAAAUGUUCUUUUUCUAUCUCACACAAUGUUACAUAAUAAUCAAGGAAGGAUUCUCAGAACUAAAAAUGCUUCCCACUGAAAAUAUUACCAGAAAUUUGUUUCUCGGAACCUUUUUCAGAGCAAAAAAUUCUAUCAGGGUGAACUAUAUUUUGUUAUUAGUGCUAAGUAGCAAAUGUUAGCAUGCCAACAUGCUAAGCUAAGGUGAUGAACAACACAAACAUUAAACCUGCUAUAAAUCUCCUUACUAUUGUCAGUGUUAGUGGGUCCAUAUAUAAUUGAGGGACAUCUGAAGUCCAUGGGAUAUAUCUUGCAUACAUUUUUAUUAAAAGUGAAAAAAAUAAUGUUUUUUAUGUUCAUUUUGAUCAUUUCUUUACAAAUUCCAUAGUUAUUUAUUCAGGAAACAAUCACUUAUUGAUAAAAAAAAUGACUGGACAUCACCAAAAUGUCAACUAAAUAACCAUCGAAAUUUAAUAACAACCACCUUCUAAUUAGCUAAACAAUAAUAAAAUGAGUUUAUUCAGAAAUAGUUUUGAUUGUGUUCUUUUUAUUAAGUUGAGAUAAUCAUGACAGAUAUUUCCUUUUUUGGCAAUAUAUCAAAUUUUAUAUGGAAAAUAACAAAUUGUAUCUGUGUCCCAGAAAUCACUUUCAACUAAGUUCCCCAUUACAAAAACACCUCUCAAGGAAGUGUGUUAAUUCCAGAUCACAUGACCUGCUCCAGGUUUUGUGUCACGGUUUUGUCGUUUUCUAUCUCGUUUUUGUCAUUUUGUGUGUUGGUUUGUAAUUUUUCUGUUUUUGUUUUGUCGUUUCAUGUCUUGGUUUUUAAUUUUUAAAAAAUGACUGGGUAUCACUAAAAUGUCAAAUAAAUAACUGUCCAGAUUUAAUAAGUUACACAUUACAAAAACACCUCUCAAAGAAGUGAGUUAAUUCCAGAUCACAUGACCUGCUCCACAUGAUGUCAUUUCCUCCUGAAGAAAAGACUGGCCAGACUCCAAGGCUUUCUGAGUUAUUUAAUAUAAAGUAGUGUGUGAGUCAAGUGUGGAUUUAUGGCAUGUCAACAGGUUUACUACAAUAUCUUUAUAAAGGACUUUCAAUUUCCAAUUCACUCACUUGUAUAUACAAUAUUUUAGAAGAAUCAUUCUGUAAAAAUGCCAUGUGGUGUUUGGUUAUAGGUGGCCAUGUUAAUUUUAGACCUGAAAACAGCAAAAAUAUCAACUAUGAUACAAAAAGUCCUGCAAUUAAACAUUGACCCUGGUAUACAGAUGUUAGCAUUCAGGUUAAAGUACCACUAAGCCUCAGUGUGGCUCUAGACUCUUAGUUCAACAAUAAAUUGUUCACCAGCGUCUCCAAGUUUUUCCUCGAUAUGAGAUUUUACGCAAAGCCAUCAAAGUACAAAAUGUUCCCGUCCUGUUUCCAAAAUUUCCAAUACCCUCUCGCCUCUCCUCCUACCACUCUCUCCCAUGCCCUCUUCUCGCUGUGCUCCCUCUUUCACACCUCUGGGGGGUGGGGGUGGGAAUGGAGGGGGCAUCAUUUUAUGGAUCCCUGCCAUUCAGUCUGAUUCCCCCUCCCCUCUCUCCGUCUGCUUACAUUUCCCAUAGCUUUCCAUCACUUCUCCCCUAGAGUCUCACGUGUCCUUCCUUCCUUGCUAUUUCCUCCUUCCUUUCCUCACCUACCCCAUCCCACACCUUUUUUUGUUGUUGUUGUUGUCGUUUGUUUGUUAUAAUGGGUGGAGCCUCUUCCGUGGUGCCAUUUUCUGUUCGGUAGUACAUCCAAGAGAACAUGAAUAUUCAUGACUAAUCCACUCCUCGCCCUCCACCACCACCCCCUCCACUCGGCCCCGCAGUCGAAGGCAACACUUGGUAGUGGCACAUGGCGAGACAGCUGUUGCGAACCAAGCCAGGCAUCUGUGCAGUGGGAAGAGUACGAGGGAAAAAGAGAGACCGCGGGAGCAGGCGAGCAAAGAAACGCAGAUAGAAAAGAGAUAAAGAGGACAGAGGUGAAGAUGCAGAGAAGGGGGGGACGCAGAUCUAUGCAGAGAUACAGUCGGGACGGUAUGGAACGGGCAGCGGUUGAGGGGGCAUCUGGGUAAAGCAGAGCCAGACAGACAGAAGGAACGGGGCGGUGGCGGGGUCAUCUGGGUGAAAAGGAAGGGCACAAGCCAGACGGAGGGAAAUGGGCACUGAUGGGAGGGUCUGUCUGGGGAUGGAGAGAGGCAGACAGAUUGAAAGGAGAUGGGAGAGAGUGGGACAGAGAGGGAGGCAGGAGGGGGCAUCGGAACAUGAGAAAGGAAAGCAUGGAAAGAGACAGCAGGGGAGAUGGGAGGAUGGAGAGAGUCACGCACCUGACUUUAACACUAUUUACAAUCAUUUUAUAAAAAGAUUAGGAUCUCAAACCACUCCUCCAAACCUACCAACCAAAGCCCAUUCAAAUAUUUUCAGUAUUUUAAAAUAAAUCUGGUUAAUUUCACUAUUAGGCUGCACUACUUGCAAAUCUUUUCUUCCUACUUCUGUGCAUGGUGUACAUUUGGCAAACUUAAAGACAAUCAGUUGAGAAUUAGCAAUAAAAAUCAAUACAGAUGUGAAAAUGAAUGCAUGAGGGUAUGGGAUACAGAGUAGAAGAAGCCAGGAAAAAAAACACUUCAAAACUGAUAAGAAUAAUAAAAAUCAAAGGAGAAGAAUCAAAAUUUUGACCAUUUACAAGAAAAAUGUCUUCAGGAAUUGUUUUCAGUCAGGAAAGUUGGAAUUAUUCUUUCAUGUCAGCUGGUGUCGGCCACAUUUCACAUAAAGAGAUGAAGAAAACGAAAGAAGUUCAAUGAUUUCAAUGUUCACCAUGUCAGAAUAUAUUCCGAAAAGGAGUUUCCAUCUUCUAUGAGGGACAUAACCUCUUCUGAAAAAGUAUGAAGCCUUUUCAAUCAAGUGUAUAAAUCCAAAUUUGAGAUUUUUUUUUCUGAAUUGUGGCAUUUACAGCAACUUUUUGUAAUGUGACACUUCCUAAAAAUACAUUAUAGAAAUACGGCUAUAGAUAGGAUUACUAUGAUGUCCAAUUUUAACUACAUGAUUAUCAUUCAUAAAAUAAUUCAUAAUAAUGGUUAUAUUGUGACAUCCAUGGAAAAUAACCAUAAUGCUAUCAGUAAAAUUCAUUGCUAACCUUGUGUAGCCUACUGUGUGUUUUGUGUCUUUUUUGAUUAAAAAUUGAUUACAAUUAAAAUAUGAGUGUAGGGAGGUUCAAGUAUAAAACCUUUUUUGAGAAACUGUGGGCGUUUUUCCAAAUUUUGUCACUACUAUAAAGUUUUUAUAAUCUGAUACUUCAAAAUGUGUAUGGAAACACAUUAUGAAAACACAGCUACAGACUAAACUCCAUUCUUUUGGUGAAGGAAGCACUAACACUCCAAAUACUUCAACUCUACAACAGUGGUCCUGCAUUCCAAAUCACAGUACAAUCACCAACUUGUACUUUGUGUUUGGUAAAAGUACAACAGGGGCAUUGUUUUACUCUCGAGGUGGAGCUGGUUUAAAUUAUUUUAUAUCCAGUUACUACAGUCCUGUGAGUAUCAGCCCCGAGGUCGAGCCUCCCCCAAAGGGUCAUGCGAUGAAUGUGAGAAGUCGUGGGACGAUUAAUGGAACGGGAAAAAAGAAAACAUAAAGUCCCGACACGGAAAUUUGUAUUAAUUAACGAAACAUUUGCUUACCAUUUAUUUUUUGGUGAAAUAUUAGACGCUAUUACUCUUUUGGGCCUCAAAGCGCUAUUUAUAACGACGCCAUCUAUAAAUUUUAGAUGGGAAAUGUCUCUUUAAUGGAACUGUUAGGACAAGAGGUUCCAACCAGACAGGGAAAUCCACAAGUUUAGAAUGAAACAAUGCAUUGUAUUUUAUAAAAGGAACACGUUUUGAUUGUGCAAUGUAAAUAAUCUCAACUCUACAGCUCAAUAAAACUGUUUUACCUCCA